UUAAGCGACUAAGCGUACACGGUGGAUGCCCUGGCAGUCAGAGGCGAUGAAGGACGUGCUAAUCUGCGAAAAGCGCCGGCGAGGUGAUAUGAACCUUUGACCCGGCGAUGUCCGAAUGGGGAAACCCAGUGCAAUUCGUUGCACUAUCGUUAACUGAAUACAUAGGUUAACGAGGCGAACCGGGGGAACUGAAACAUCUAAGUACCCCGAGGAAAAGAAAUCAACCGAGAUUCCCCCAGUAGCGGCGAGCGAACGGGGAGCAGCCCAGAGUCUGAAUCAGCUUGUGUGUUAGUGGAAGCGUCUGGAAAGUCGCACGGUACAGGGUGACAGUCCCGUACACGAAAGCACACAGGCUGUGAACUCGAAGAGUAGGGCGGGACACGUGGUAUCCUGUCUGAAUAUGGGGGGACCAUCCUCCAAGGCUAAAUACUCCUGACUGACCGAUAGUGAACCAGUACCGUGAGGGAAAGGCGAAAAGAACCCCGGCGAGGGGAGUGAAAAAGAACCUGAAACCGUGUACGUACAAGCAGUGGGAGCACCUUCGUGGUGUGACUGCGUACCUUUUGUAUAAUGGGUCAGCGACUUAUAUUCUGUAGCAAGGUUAACCGUAUAGGGGAGCCGAAGGGAAACCGAGUCUUAACUGGGCGUUAAGUUGCAGGGUAUAGACCCGAAACCCGGUGAUCUAGCCAUGGGCAGGUUGAAGGUUGGGUAACACUAACUGGAGGACCGAACCGACUAAUGUUGAAAAAUUAGCGGAUGACUUGUGGCUGGGGGUGAAAGGCCAAUCAAACCGGGAGAUAGCUGGUUCUCCCCGAAAGCUAUUUAGGUAGCGCCUCGUGAACUCAUCUUCGGGGGUAGAGCACUGUUUCGGCUAGGGGGCCAUCCCGGCUUACCAACCCGAUGCAAACUACGAAUACCGAAGAAUGUUAUCACGGGAGACACACGGCGGGUGCUAACGUCCGUCGUGAAGAGGGAAACAACCCAGACCGCCAGCUAAGGUCCCAAAGUCAUGGUUAAGUGGGAAACGAUGUGGGAAGGCACAGACAGCCAGGAUGUUGGCUUAGAAGCAGCCAUCAUUUAAAGAAAGCGUAAUAGCUCACUGGUCGAGUCGGCCUGCGCGGAAGAUGUAACGGGGCUAAACCAUGCACCGAAGCUGCGGCAGCGACGCGUAUGCGUUGUUGGGUAGGGGAGCGUUCUGUAAGCCGUUGAAGGUGUGCUGUGAGGCAUGCUGGAGGUAUCAGAAGUGCGAAUGCUGACAUAAGUAACGAUAAAGCGGGUGAAAAGCCCGCUCGCCGGAAGACCAAGGGUUCCUGUCCAACGUUAAUCGGGGCAGGGUGAGUCGACCCCUAAGGCGAGGCCGAAAGGCGUAGUCGAUGGGAAACAGGUUAAUAUUCCUGUACUUGGUGUUACUGCGAAGGGGGGACGGAGAAGGCUAUGUUAGCCGGGCGACGGUUGUCCCGGUUUAAGCAUGUAGGCGGAGGUUCCAGGUAAAUCCGGUACCUUUUAACGCUGAGGUGUGAUGACGAGGCACUACGGUGCUGAAGUAACAAAUGCCCUGCUUCCAGGAAAAGCCUCUAAGCAUCAGGUAACAUCAAAUCGUACCCCAAACCGACACAGGUGGUCAGGUAGAGAAUACCAAGGCGCUUGAGAGAACUCGGGUGAAGGAACUAGGCAAAAUGGUGCCGUAACUUCGGGAGAAGGCACGCUGAUAUGUAGGUGAAGCCCCUGCGGGUGGAGCUGAAAUCAGUCGAAGAUACCAGCUGGCUGCAACUGUUUAUUAAAAACACAGCACUGUGCAAACACGAAAGUGGACGUAUACGGUGUGACGCCUGCCCGGUGCCGGAAGGUUAAUUGAUGGGGUUAGCGGCAACGCGAAGCUCUUGAUCGAAGCCCCGGUAAACGGCGGCCGUAACUAUAACGGUCCUAAGGUAGCGAAAUUCCUUGUCGGGUAAGUUCCG
rnacentral:rRNA from 1 species